rnacentral:rRNA from 1 species
GUCCACACCGUAAACGCUGUCUACUAGCUGUUUGGACUUUCAUUAGACUGAGUAGCGAAGCUAACGCGCUAAGUAGACCGCCUGGGGAGUACGGCCGCAAGGUUAAAACUCAAAUGAAUUGACGGGGGCCCGCACAAGCGGUGGAGCAUGUGGUUUAAUUCGAUGCAACGCGAAGAACCUUACCUACACUUGACAUGCAGAGAACUUUCCAGAGAUGGAUAGGUGCCUUCGGGAACUCUGACACAGGUGCUGCAUGGCU